GACGAACGCUGGCGGCGUGCUUAACACAUGCAAGUCGAACGGAAAGGCCCUGCUUGCGUGGGGUGCUCGAGUGGCGAAGGGGUGAGUAACACGUGAGUAACCUGCCCUUGACUUUGUGAUAACUUCAGGAAACUGGGGCUAAUACCGGCUAGGAGCUCCUGCUGCAUGGUGGGGGUUGGAAAGUUUGGGCGGUUGGGGAUGGACUCGCGGCUUAUCAGCUUGUUGGUGGGGUAGUGGCUUACCAAGGCUUUGACGGGUAGCCUGCCUGAGAGGUUGGACGGCCACCUUGGGACUGAGAUACGGCCCAGACUCCUACGGUAGGCAGCAGUGGGGAGUAUUGCACAAUGGGCGGAAGCCUGAUGCAGCAACGCCGCGUGCGGGAUGACGGCCUUCGUGUUGUAAACCGCUUUCGCCUGUGACGAAGCGUGAGUGACGGUAAUGGGUAAAGAAGCACCGGCUAACUACGUG
rnacentral:rRNA from 1 species